rnacentral:lncRNA from 1 species
AAAUGCAGAGACAACAAAAUCAAUUUCAAAGUCCUUGCAAGAUACUCCAUCUCUCAGGAUGCAGGACCCUUCAUGAUGACAGCCUCAACUUCAAGAUCAGUUUAACUUCAAAACCUCUGACAUUGGUUAUUUCUCAAGAGUUGUGAUUUUUUUUCUCCCUUGCAGCCACAGUUGGUCUAAAGGGACAUGGAUGAAUCUGGAGAACAUCAUUCUCAGCAAACUGACAGAAGAACAGAAAAUGAAAUACCGCAUAUUCUCACUCAUAGGUGGGUGAUGAAAAAUGAGA